UAAGGUCUGAUUCAAUGAUUCGUACCACCUGCCUUACAGAUCUACUACUAACGCAUCUUUCUUGCGCGGUAAGCUUUUGGGCGGAAUGAAUCACUGAUUCAGACUUGCAAAACAAAAAACCCGCGCAAAUGCGCGGGUUUUUUA
rfam:Erwinia tracheiphila strain BuffGH Etrach_2, whole genome shotgun sequence.